rnacentral:rRNA from 1 species
AGCAGCCGCGGUAAUUCCAGCUCCAAUAGCGUAUAUUAAAGUUGUUGCAGUUAAAAAGCUCGUAGUUGAAUUUCGGGGUCAGUAGGUUGGUCGUGCCACGGGUAUGAACUGGUCUCACUGAUUCCUCCUUCCUGAUGAACCGUAAUGCCAUUAAUUUGGUGUUGCGGGGAGACUGGACUGUUACUUUGAAAAAAUUAGAGUGUUUAAAGCAGGCUAACGCUUGAAUACAUUAGCAUGGAAUAAUGAAAUAGGACGUUCGGUCUAUUUUGUGGUUUCUAAGAUUGACGUAAUGAUUAAUAGGGAUAGUUGGGGGCAUUAGUAUUCAAUUGUCAGAGGUGAAAUUCUUGGAUUUAUUGAAGACUAACUACUGCGAAAGCAUUUGCCAGGAUGUCUUCAUUAAUCAAGAACGAAAGUUAGGGAUCGAAGACGAUCGAGAUACCGUCGUAGUCUUAACCAUAAACUAUACGACGACUAAGGGNUCGGAUGAUGUUAAUUUUUAAUGUACUUACGAUUCGGCGCC